UGGGGAAUCUUGCGCAAUGGGCGAAAGCCUGACGCAGCGACGCCGCGUGAGUGAUGAAGGCCUUCGGGUUGUAAAGCUCUGUGGGGAGAGACGAAUAAGUGCGGGCUAAUACUCCGCAUGAUGACGGUAUCUCCUUAGCAAGCACCGGCUAACUCUGUGCCAGCAGCCGCGGUAAGACAGAGGGUGCAAACGUUGUUCGGAAUUACUGGGCGUAAAGCGAGUGUAGGCGGUUUCGUAAGUCGGAUGUGAAAGCCCCGGGCUCAACCCGGGAAGUGCACUCGAUACUGCGAGGCUAGAGUACUGGAGAGGUUGGUGGAAUUCUCGGUGUAGAGGUGAAAUUCGUAGAUAUCGAGAGGAACACCGGUGGCGAAGGCGGCCAACUGGACAGAUACUGACGCUG
rnacentral:rRNA from 1 species